rnacentral:rRNA from 1 species
GAUGAACGCUGGCGGCGUGCCUAAUACAUGCAAGUCGAGCGAACAGACGAGGAGCUUGCUCCUCUGACGUUAGCGGCGGACGGGUGAGUAACACGUGGAUAACCUACCUAUAAGACUGGGAUAACUUCGGGAAACCGGAUCUAAUACCGGAUAAUAUAUUGAACCGCAUGGUUCAAUAGUGAAAGACGGUUUUGCUGUCACUUAUAGAUGGAUCCGCGCCGCAUUAGCUAGUUGGUAAGGUAACGGCUUACCAAGGCAACGAUGCGUAGCCGACCUGAGAGGGUGAUCGGCCACACUGGAACUGAGACACGGUCCAGACUCCUACGGGAGGCAGCAGUAGGGAAUCUUCCGCAAAGGGCGAAAGCCUGACGGAGCAACGCCGCGUGAGUGAUGAAGGUCUUCGGAUCGUAAAACUCUGUUAUUAGGGAAGAACAAAUGUGUAAGUAACUAUGCACGUCUUGACGGUACCUAAUCAGAAAGCAACGGCUAACUACGUG